UUUCGCAAUGCCCGAAAGGGUGACGAAGCGACGCCGCGUGCGGGAAGAAGGCCUUCGGGUUGUAAACCGCUGUCGGGAGUUAAGAAAUGUAAGGAUGUUAAUAGCGUCUUUGCUUGACUAAGGCUCCGGAGGAAGCCACGGCUAACUCUGUGCCAGCAGCCGCGGUAAUACAGAGGCGGCAAGCGUUGUUCGGAAUUAUUGGGCGUAAAGAGCACGUAGGCGGCUAUGUAAGUCGGUUGUGAAAGCCUUCCGCUCAACGGGAGAACAGCAUCCGAUACUGCAUGGCUUGAGUGCGGGAGGGGAGAGUGGAACUUCUGGCGGAGCGGUGAAAUGCGUAGAUAUCAGAAGGAACGCCGGCGGCGAAAGCGGCUCUCUGGCCCAUAACUGACGCUGAGUGUGCGAAAGCUAGGGAAGCAAACGGGAUUAGAUACCCCGGUAGUCCUAGCCGUAAACGAUGGGCACUAAGUAGAGGGGUUUU
rnacentral:rRNA from 1 species